rnacentral:lncRNA from 1 species
AUAAUUCCAAAUCAUCAUUUAUUUCAUAUCAUGAUGGUACCAAUUUUAUCAAAUUACAUUCUACCAUGCAUGAUCGAAAUUUCUUAUUUGUAUACAUCAAAAUAAAUUAAUGAAUAUUUCAUGUAUUCAUAUCAUCACAUGAGGAAUAUCAAGAAGAGUUAUUGGGUGAUGAGAUAAAUAUUUCAUAAAUAUAAGGAAUUACAUAAAAAUCAUAUCAUGAAAAGACAAUACCAAAAGACAUGUUUUCUUUUG